CGUGUAGGCGGCAGAUCAAGUCGGGUGUGAAAGCCCUCGGCUCAACCGAGGAACUGCAUCCGAUACUGGUCAGCUAGAGUGCGAGAGGGGUGAGUGGAACUCCAAGUGUAGCGGUGAAAUGCGUAGAUAUCUGGAGGAACGCCGGUGGCGAAAGCGACUCACUGGCUCGCAACUGACGCUAGGGCGCGAAAGCUAGGGUAGCGAAUG
rnacentral:rRNA from 1 species